rnacentral:rRNA from 1 species
AUUGAACGCUGGCGGCAUGCUUUACACAUGCAAGUCGAACGGUAACAGGGAGCUUGCUCCGCUGACGAGUGGCGAACGGGUGAGUAAUAUAUCGGAACGUACCCAGAAGUGGGGGAUAACGUAGCGAAAGUUACGCUAAUACCGCAUACGAUCCACGGAUGAAAGUAGGGGACCUUCGGGCCUUAUGCUUUUGGAGCGGCCGAUAUCUGAUUAGCUAGUUGGUGAGGUAAAGGCUCACCAAGGCGACGAUCAGUAGCUGGUCUGAGAGGACGACCAGCCACACUGGAACUGAGACACGGUCCAGACUCCUACGGGAGGCAGCAGUGGGGAAUUUUGGACAAUGGGCGCAAGCCUGAUCCAGCAAUGCCGCGUGAGUGAAGAAGACCUUCGGGUUGUAAAGCUCUUUUGUCAGGGAAGAAACGGGAGUGGCUAAUAUCCAUUCUUAAUGACGGUACCUGAAGAAUAAGCACCGGCUAACUACGUGCCAGCCGCCGCCGUAACAC